rnacentral:rRNA from 1 species
UGGGGAAUUUUGGACAAUGGGCGCAAGCCUGAUCCAGCCAUGCCGCGUGAGUGAAGAAGGCCUUCGGGUUGUAAAGCUCUUUCGGCGGGGACGAAAUGGUUCGUGCCAAUACCACGGACUGAUGACGGUACCUGAAGAAGAAGCACCGGCUAACUACGUGCCAGCAGCCGCGGUAAUACGUAGGGUGCAGGCGUUAAUCGGAAUUACUGGGCGUAAAGCGUGCGCAGGCGGUUUGUUAAGACAGAUGUGAAAUCCCCGGGCUUAACCUGGGAACUGCGUUUGUAACUGGCAGACUGGAGUGUGGCAGAGGGGGGUGGAAUUCCAAGUGUAGCAGUGAAAUGCGUAGAUAUUUGGAGGAACACCGAUGGCGAAGGCAGCCCCCUGGGCUAACACUGACGCUCAUGCACGAAAGCGUGGGGAGCAAACAGGAUUAGAUACCCCCGUAGUCCCUGAGCGGGCUGGCAAGGCG